rnacentral:rRNA from 1 species
AGUGAAAAAGAACCUGAAACCGUGUACGUACAAGCAGUGGGAGCCUCUUAAUGGGGUGACUGCGUACCUUUUGUAUAAUGGGUCAGCGACUUAUAUUCUGUAGCAAGGUUAACCGAAUAGGGGAGCCGAAGGGAAACCGAGUCUUAACUGGGCGUUAAGUUGCAGGGUAUAGACCCGAAACCCGGUGAUCUAGCCAUGGGCAGGUUGAAGGUUGGGUAACACUAACUGGAGGACCGAACCGACUAAUGUUGAAAAAUUAGCGGAUGACUUGUGGCUGGGGGUGAAAGGCCAAUCAAACCGGGAGAUAGCUGGUUCUCCCCGAAAGCUAUUUAGGUAGCGCCUCGUGAAUUCAUCUCCGGGGGUAGAGCACUGUUUCGGCAAGGGGGUCAUCCCGACUUACCAACCCGAUGCAAACUGCGAAUACCGGAGAAUGUUAUCACGGGAGACACACGGCGGGUGCUAACGUCCGUCGUGAAGAGGGAAACAACCCAGACCGCCAGCUAAGGUCCCAAAGUCAUGGUUAAGUGGGAAACGAUGUGGGAAGGCCCAGACAGCCAGGAUGUUGGCUUAGAAGCAGCCAUCAUUUAAAGAAAGCGUAAUAGCUCACUGGUCGAGUCGGCCUGCGCGGAAGAUGUAACGGGGCUAAACCAUGCACCGAAGCUGCGGCAGCGACACUAUGUGUUGUUGGGUAGGGGAGCG